CCGUUAAGAGGCCAGUGUUGAUCAGUGGCUGUCCAGGCCUUUCAGAGACACUGGUACACCGGCAGCACAAUGAUGAUGUCACUGGUUCUACUGCUGGCCACCCUGGGGCUCCUUGUUCAGGGUUCAUCAGGACAAACCAUCCUGACUCAGUCUCCUGGAUCUCAGUCUGUUGUUCCAGGACAGACUGUCUCUAUCAGAUGUAAAACCAGUGUUAGUACUAGUUAUCUCCACUGGUACCUUCAGAAAUCUGGAGAAGCUCCUAAACUCCUGAUUUAUUCAGCUACAACCCGUCAGUCUGGAGUUUCAGAUCGUUUUACUGGAAGUGGUUCUGGGACUGACUUCACUCUGACCAUCAGAGGAGUCGAGGCUAAAGAUUCAGGAGUUUACUACUGUCAGCAGGGUGGCAGCUGGCCACUCACACAGUGAUACAACGUCGUACAAAAACCUCCCUCAGCUGGAGAGGAACUGAUCUGACUCAACAGCUGCACUGAAACUAAAACAACAGAAGCUUAACUCAACUAAAAUAUAUUUUAUAAUAAUUGACUUUAAACAUUGUAACACUAAAUAUACUUUAUCUAACUAGAAGUUAUAAUGUACAUUAUGUCAGUAAAAUCAGGUUAGAAACAUUGUGCUGCACAUCAAAGCUGACCUCUGAAGUAUGAUUUCAAUUCUUUGAUAAAUUUAAUCCAGAGUAAGAUAAUACAUCAUAUAUAAUACAACAUUAAAACUGAACGUAUAAUUCAUUCAUUUUAUUUCUUACUACUUUUCAUAGAAGCUCAAACAUAGUCAUUGUUGAAAUAAAUUACAAAAUGUGAUUUAUUUCAUGUUGUAAAAUUAAUGAUCAUGUGUAUAACUUCUUUUAGUCAAUUGUAGAUAUUUUCUUUUGUCUUCUCUUGUAAUGUCAAUAUUUCUAGAGAUUGAACUGCGGAUCACUCAUUUUAUUUCUCUCCAUGCUGAUGAUGUGCUUUUAAUUUCAGAUUUAGAAAAUAUUUGUAAGACUUUUUGUAGUUUGUUUAAAAAAUGAUUAAGGUUCUUUAGAGACACUUAAAGCAAAUAACAUAUUACAGUCCUUACUAUUAACACAUUUAAGUAAUGAGAGAUGAUUGGAUGAUUUAUUGUUGAAAUGUUCCAACCAUGUUCCGACCAAAGGUUUAUCAUGAUAGACAUUGUUUUAUAUAAUCCCAUACUGUCUUUCUACAGUCACCAUGGAGAAAUUAAAACAUAUGUGUUGGAUCAUUUUUUCCUCAGGAUUUCUCAAAGUCAGUGACAUGAUUAAGAAAAGAUGUAAUAAGA